rnacentral:rRNA from 1 species
UACGUAGGGUGCAAGCGUUUGUCCGGAAUUAUUGGGCGUAAAGAGCUCGUAGGCGGUUUGUCGCGUCGAAUGUGAAAACCCGGGGCUCAACCCCGGGCCUGCAUUCGAUACGGGGCAGACUAGAGUGUGGUAGGGGGAGACUGGAAUUCCUGGUGUAGCGGUGGAAUGCGCAGAUAUCAGGAGGAACACCGAUGGGCGAAGGCAGGUCUCUGGGCCACUACUGACGCUGAGAAGCGAAAGCAUGGGGAGCGAACAGG